CCUACGGGGUGCAGCAGUGGGGGAUAUUGCACAAUGGGGGGAACCCUGAUGCAGCGACGCCGCGUGGGUGAAGAAGCGCCUCGGCGCGUAAAGCCCUGUCAGCAGGGAAGAAAAUGACGGUACCUGAAGAAGAAGCCCCGGCUAACUACGUGCCAGCCGCCGCGGUAAUACGUAGGGGGCAAGCGUUAUCCGGAUUUGCUGGGUGUAAAGGGGGCGCAGACGGCGAUGCAAGCCAGGAGGGAAAGCCCGGGGGCCAACCCCGGGACUGCUCUUGGAACUGCGUGGCUGGAGUGCAGGAGGGGCAGGCGGAAGUCCUGGUGUAGCGGUGAAAUGCGUAGAUAUCAGGAGGAACACCGGUGGCGAAGGCGGCCUGCUGGACUGCAACUGACGUUGAGGCCCGAAAGCGUGGGGAGCAAACAGGAUUAGAUACCCUAGUAGUC
rnacentral:rRNA from 1 species